rnacentral:tRNA from 1 species
GUUAAGUUAGUUUAAUUAAAACGUCAGUCUGUGAAUUUGAAAAUGAAGCUAUUCUUCUCUUAACC